rnacentral:lncRNA from 1 species
CACGUAUCAAGUCCCUCAUCCGCACACUUCACUCACUAAAUCCCUCUCUUCUCUCGUCUCUCUCUGAGAAGGUGGAUCAUUUUUCUAGGGUUUGUGAGCUGAAACUUCAGUUACCGAACAGUGAGAGUGGCCUUUGAUUGAUUAGGGAACAUGUCUUCUCUGGGAACUUCAAAGGGAAUUCUAGAGAUCGCAAAGUUUGGGCUCUACGUCUCCGUCCCCAUCGUUCUUAUGUACACCUUCGCCAACAACACUACGAAUCUCCAGAGAUUCAUGGGAAACGUAAUCUCUCUCUCUCUCUCUCUGUGUUACUGGUUUUGUAUUAGUAUUAGUUUUUUUAUGUAUAACGGAGCAAGCUGUGAAUUCAAAUUGUUCGAAGUUGAGGUAAGAGAGAUCUGAUAUUGCAGUAUCAUUAGGGAAAAAAUCUGUUUCAUAUUGAAAAUUUUGCUUGAAUUCUGAUGUGGGUUUUAUUAAUCUAGCAUGUUGCAGUGAUUCAAUUGAACCCUUUGAAGUUGAGGUGAUAUUGUGGGUAGAAUCUGUUAGAGGGUUUAUUGGUUUUGAAAUUUAUGGUGUGGUUUAAUUUAGCCGAGAGGCAAUGGAUGUGAUAUUCUAGUUCAUGGCAUAAAGGGGCUUGCAUUGCUUAUAUAGAUUUUGAUAUGAUCUGAGCUAUUAGGUUUUGGUCUGCAGCAUUCUUAUGUUGUGUAUCCACCUGAAGCGCCGAGACCUCCAUCACCAGAGGAAAUGAGAGAGAUGGCGCGAGAACUAGCUAGGAAGAACAAUGCCCGUUGAUGCUUUGUUUGGGGUUCUUUUCUUUUGUAACUUGUAAGUGACUGCUAUAGAGAAAACAAAAAAAUGUUGGAUUUUGCACUUAGAUUUCAGUCGAAAUAAUGGUGAGGCCAAGUGGGUUUUAUUUCAAGUUCAAGUGUGGCCUUGUAAUGUUCCACAAUCCUACUUAAAAUUUCAAAUCCACUUUGCCCAUUUCAUGCUGUGUGUGGAGGACGAAGGAGCUUUUGUGACUCAGGAUGUAAAUUAUAUGUUGUGAUAAACCAUGGAUGGAUUUGAAAGUGACCAAACAUCUACAAUAUUCCUCAUGUACUUUUGAACUUUCAUUUUCGUGUUCUUUGUGGAGCUGGAAUCUACUUGUAAGUGAGUUCUUUUGGUUUGCUUUUCUGGGUUGUGCUUGAGUGAAGCUGGAAGGUUGAAAAUCUGGAUUUACUGUUAAAUUUCAUGCCUUAGCUGUUCAUUAAAAACUAUUGAUAUUGGGUAGACGUGGGCAUAGCCAAGUUUUCUGAGCACCCGAGUUUGAAUUCCACCUAGUUUAGAUUAGAUUAAAAUAUAAUAUGGUUUGUAUUAAAGAAAAACUGUUCGUUAAAAAAAAAAAAAAGUUUAUAUUGGAG